CUGCCGUAUACUGGGGGAUAACACUUAGAAAUAGGUGCUAAUACCGCAUAAGCGCACAGCUUCGCAUGAAGUGGUGUGAAAAACUCUGGUGGUAUACGAUGGUUCCGCGUCUGAUUAGCUUGUUGGUGGGGUAAUGGCUCACCAAGGCGACGAUCAGUAGCCGGCCUGAGAGGGUGAACGGCCACAUUGGGACUGAGACACGGCCCAAACUCCUACGGGAGGCAGCAGUGGGGAAUAUUGCACAAUGGGGGAAACCCUGAUGCAGCGACGCCGCGUGAGUGAAGAAGUAUUUCGGUAUGUAAAGCUCUAUCAGCAGGGAAGAAAUAGCGACCUUUGGGUCGCCAGACGGUACCUGAUUAAGAAGCCCCGGCUGACUACGUGCCAGCAGCCGCGGUAAUACGUGGGGGGCAAGCGUUAUCCGGAUUUACUGGGUGUAAAGGGAGCGUAGACGGCAGCACAAGUCUGAAGUGAAAUGCCGGGGCUUAACCCCGGAACUGCUUUGGAAACUGUGCAGCUAGAGUGCAGGAGAGGUAAGUGGAAUUCCUAGUGUAGCGGUGAAAUGCGUAGAUAUUAGGAGGAACACCAGUGGCGAAGGCGGCUUACUGGACUGUAACUGACGUUGAGGCUCGAAAGCGUGGGGAGCAAACAGGAUUAGAUACCCUGGUAGUCCACGCUGUAAACGAUGA
rnacentral:rRNA from 1 species